rnacentral:rRNA from 1 species
AGCAGCCGCGGUAAUUCCAGCUCCAAUAGCGUAUAUUAAAGUUGUUGCAGUUAAAAAGCUCGUAGUUGAAUUUCGGGAUCAAUUUAUUGGUCGUGCUAUUGUACGUACUGGUAUUAUUGAUUCCUACCUUCUGACGAACCAUGAUGUCAUUAAUUUGGUGUCAUGGGGAAUCAGGACUGUUACUUUGAAAAAAUUAGAGUGUUUAAAGCAGGCUCACGCUUGAAUACAUUAGCAUGGAAUAACGAAAUAGGACGUUUGAUUCUAUUUUGUUGGUUUCUAGGAUCGACGUAAUGAUUAAUAGGGAUAGUUGGGGGCAUUAGUAUUCAAUUGUCAGAGGUGAAAUUCUUGGAUUUAUUGAAGACUAACUACUGCGAAAGCAUUUGCCAAGGAUGUUUUCAUUAAUCAAGAACGAAAGUUAGGGGAUCGAAGACGAUCAGAUACCGUCGUAGUCUUAACCAUAAACUAUGCCGACUAGGGAUCGGACGAAGUUAAUUUUAUAAUGACGCGUUCGGCACC